rnacentral:rRNA from 1 species
GCAUAUCAAUAAGCGGAGGAAAAGAAAUCAACGAAGAUUCCCUCAGUAACGGCGAGUGAAGCGGGAAUAGCUCAGACUGAAAACCUUCGGGAAUGUGGUCUGCAGAUGGGACAUCGAAUCUUCGGAAGCUGAUAAAGUGAUCUGGAAUGAUCCGCCGUGGAGGGUGACAGCCCCGUUCGUAUCAGUGGAAAGAGAAAGUAGAUGCUUAUCGACGAGUCGAGUUGUUUGGGAAU